CACGUUUUGAGUUUCCUCACUUCACUUUUGAACGUAGAUUGGCAUAUUGUACGGUGAAUCUUUAUAGAUCCGAUGUAUCGGCAGGCCACCAAGGUAGGAAUGGAUUCCCAGCAGGGCAACACCCCUUAGUGUGUCAACUGCUUCGUGGCAUCAGAUUUGCACGUCCACCUCGUCUUAAAUAUUCCUCGGUAUGGGAUGUGAACAUCGUUCUCAGAUUGUUUGAUAACUGACAUCAGAAUAAAAACCUUUCACUCAAACAGAUCACGGCUAAAUUG